ACUCAAGUUUUCCAGAGCUGGAAUAUAGAAAAUGGAUGGACACAUAAGUCCCACUCACCCGUAGCCAAGGCAUGGAGACCUGAACACACCUGGGCCGUAGACAUCACCUUUCAUUAUGAAGUUUCACUCUUGUUGCCUAGGCUGGAGUGCAACGGCACAACCUCUGCUGACUGCAACCUCCUUUUCUUGGAUUCAAGCCAUUCUCUUGCCUCAGUCUGCAGAAUAGCUGGAAUUACAGCUGGAUCUACUAUGAAAGACAUCAGAGUUCAGGAGGAGACUGGGCAUCAUGUUAUUCAGUAGAGACGGGGUAUCACCAUGUUGACCAGGAUGGUCUUGAUCUCCUGACCUCGUGAUCCAACUGCCUCAAGUCAAGCUCUUCAGGCCCACCUUGAGCCUUCCGAUGACCUGGACAGGCCCAGCUCUUUCCUCCCAGUGGCCUCUGCAGGCCUAGCUUUUGCCUCACAG
rnacentral:lncRNA from 13 species